UACGGAGGGUGCGAGCGUCGUUCGGAAUCACUGGGCGUAAAGGGCGUGUAGGCGGUCUGUUAAGUCUGAUGUGAAAGCCCGGGGCUCACCCCCGGAAGUGCAUUGGAUACUGGCGGACUCGAGUCUCGGAGAGGAGGGUGGAAUUCCUGGUGUAGCGGUGAAAUGCGCAGAUAUCAGGAGGAACACCGGUGGCGAAGGCGGGUCUCUGGGCCGAUACUGACGCUGAGGAGCGAAAGCGUGGGGAGCGAACAGG
rnacentral:rRNA from 1 species